CGGGGUGAGUAAUGUCUGGGAAACUGCCUGAUGGAGGGGGGUAACUACUGGAAACGGUAGCUAAUACCGCAUAACGUCGCAAGACCAAAGAGGGGGACCUUCGGGCCUCUUGCCAUCGGAUGUGCCCAGAUGGGAUUAGCUAGUAGGUGGGGUAAUGGCUCACCUAGGCGACGAUCCCUAGCUGGUCUGAGAGGAUGAUCAGCCACACUGGGACUGAGACACGGCCCAG
rnacentral:rRNA from 1 species